rnacentral:misc_RNA from 1 species
GAUGAAGAACGUAGCGAAAUGCGAUAAGUAAUGUGAAUUGAAGAAUUCAGUGAAUCAUCGAAUCUUUGAACGCACAUUGCGCCCGCCAGUAUUCUGGCGGGCAUGCCUGUUCGAGCGUCAUUUCAACCAUCAAGCCCCCGGCUUGUGUUGGGGACCUGCGGCUGCCGCAGGCCCUGAAAACCAGUGGCGGGCUCGCUAGUCACUCCGAGCGUAGUAAUACAUCUCGCUCAGGGCGUGCUGCGGGUUCCGGCCGUUAAAAAGCCUUAUUUACCCAAGGUUGACCUCGGAUCAGGUAGGAAGACCCGCUGAACUUAAGCAUAUCAAUAAGCGGAGGA